rnacentral:ncRNA from 1 species
ANGAGCACAGUACGGAUGAAAGUUGUAAGCUGUGUUCGGGGGGAGUUAUUGUCUAUCGUUGGCCUCUAUGGUAGAAUUAGUCGGGGGACCUGAGAGGCGGUGGUUUACCCUGC